rnacentral:rRNA from 1 species
GACGAACGCUGGCGGCGUGCUUAACACAUGCAAGUCGAACGGAAAGGCCCUGCUUUUGUGGGUUGCUCGAGUGGCGAACGGGUGAGUAACACGUGAGUAACCUGCCCUUGACUGUGUGAUAACUUCAGGAAACUGGGGCUAAUACCGGAUAGGAGCUCCUGCUGCAUGGUGGGGGGUGGAAAGUUGCGGCGGUCGGGGAUGGACUCGCGGCUUAUCAGCUUGUUGGUGGGGUAGUGGCUUACCAAGGCUUUGACGGGUAGCCGGCCUGAGAGGGUGACCGGCCACAUUGGGACUGAGAGACGGACCAGACUCCUACGGUAGGCAGCAGGGGGGAAUAUUGCACAAUGGGCGGAAGCCUGAUGCAGCAACGCCGCGUGCGGGAUGACGGCCUUCGGGUUGUAAACCGCUUUCGCCUGUGACGAAGCGUGAGUGACGGUAAUGGGUAAAGAAGCACCGGCUAACUACGUG